CUCUAGAAUUAGCACAACCCCCUCCUUGGAUCCAUACGGUUCUCUCCCUCUUCUUAUGCUCUUCUCUUGCUUAUUCUUCUAUUCUUGUUUUCUCCACCUCAUGGCCGACCCAUUGCAAGCCCCCUCUACUCACAACUACCCAUUAUCACCACUUAAAGUAACCUAAACCACACUAGCACCACGCCAUUUUAAUGGAGGCAGCAAGUGUUUUCUCCUUAGUUGCUGAAAUGGUUGUGUGAAGGUUUCGAGAUUCUUGGUGAUGGACCUAGUGACUUGAUUGGUUGAUUUUGUGAUGCCUGAUUGAGGUAAAAUUGGAUUGGACUUCCGAGGUACGUGGCUUCUUAAUGAGAUUUUCUUGAAAUAAAAAGAAUCAUUAUUGCACUCAAACAUUUUUUAUGGUUAAACCCAUUUUGAAACAUUAAUCAUGGUUUUCCUAAAGCAUACUAUGUGUACUAUUAUUGUUAUUUAAGAAAUUAUGGAAAACGCAUGAAACCUUGAAAGGUGCAUCAUAAUUGUCAAUGCAUAUGGGGAAAUGCAUGAUUUGUUAGCAUGGAAAAGAUAAGUAUCUUUGAUAUAUUUCUUGGAAAUGGAUUUUAUAGAUUUGUUGCAUUAUUUGCAAAUUCUAAAGAUGUUUUAUCUUGACUAUAGAAAAUCUUAUUGACAAGAAAUGAUUUUGGAUAAUUUGAGAACUUUGUCAAAUGCUUGGAUAUUAAAAGGUUUUAUGAAACUACUUGGAAACAAAUUACAAGUUUCAAUUUCAUUUAAUUGUGAGCUUUAUGUUGUUUUUACCCUUGUGCCAUGAUAGGUGUGAUUACCUAGCCAAAUGUCACAGUCUUUGUGACAUUGGAAUCUUGGCACCUUGUCUUUGUGGCAGAUUGAUGUUUUUGUGGCAUAAUUAAUGUCUUCAUGGCAUAUUUGAUGUCUUUGUGGCAUAUUUGAUGUCUCCGUGGCAUAACUUGAUGUCUUCAUGGCAUAAUUGAUUUCUUUGUGGCAUACUUAAUGUCUUUAUGAUGGCUUGUCAUGUGGCCUUGGUUUGGAUUUUUAAGUUUUUGAAAUAGUGUUUUGAUAGCUCAUAGUAUAUAGUAUGUAGUUUCAUGUUGAGAUAUUUUGAGAAAGCUUUGUGCUGCAUCGUUUCAAUUAUUCUUGUUUUUUCACCAAUGAAAAUGAAUUUGUUGGACUUUCACGGAAAUUCUCAAAUUAUAACAUGUUUUGUAAAAUGUUCAUUAUCAUGAAACUUGCAUUUCCCCCACUCUGAUUAAUUAUGCUAUUUACUAGGCUUUAGCUCAUCCCACUCUCCAAUAGUUUUUUAGAUUAAUUUGCUAUACCUUGGGCAUGAAGCUUGUUUUAUUGGUGGUGAUUGGAGUAUUAUGCUAUAAUUGGUUUGUGACUCAACUUACUAAAUUUAUUGAGGCCAUAGCUAAUUCUAUUUAAGAUUGGUCUUUUGAGGCUAGUUAGCAUUGUGUGUGGCAGGCUUAGAUUUGAUGUUGAGGUUGCGUAUUCUAGAAAGGAUUGUGGUUUUGUGUUAUCCAUUUGGAGCUUUGAAAUAUAUUCAUGUAUCAUUUGGAGGCACAUGAUUUUAGUUAUUGUUUGUAAAUGUGUUAUAGAGCUUUGACUUGUAAUGUGGAGAUUUUAAUAUAGUUAUUUAUUCUUA